CGGUAAUAGGUAGGGGGCGAGCGUUGUCCGGAUUUAUUGGGCGUAAAGAGCUAGUAGGCGGUUCAACAAGUCGGUCGUGAAAGUUCAGGGCUCAACCCUGAAAUGUCGAUCGAUACUGUUGUGACUUGGAUACGGGAGAGGUGAGUGGAAUUCCGAGUGUAGCGGUGAAAUGCGUAGAUAUUCGGAGGAACACCAAUUGCGAAGGCAGCUCACUGGGCCGCUAUCGACGCUGAGGAGCGAAAGCUAGGGGAGCAAACAGG
rnacentral:rRNA from 1 species